rnacentral:rRNA from 1 species
GACGAACGCUGGCGGCGUGCUUAACACAUGCAAGUCGAACGAAGUGGCGAACGGGUGAGUACCGCGUAAUCAACCUGCCCUUCAGAGGGGGACAACAGUGGGAAACGACUGCUAAUACCGCAUACUGAAGGGGGGGAUUGCGUCUGAUUAGCUAGUUGGAGGGGUCAGUGCCCACCAAGGGGAUGAUCAGUAGCCGGUCUGAGAGGAGGAACGGCCACAUGGGGACUGAGACACGGCCCAGAAUCAUACGGGAGGCAGCAGUGGGGAAUCUUCCGCAAUGGACGAAAGUCUGACUGAGCAACGCCGCGUGAGUGAUGACGGCCUUCGGGUUGUAAAGCUCUGUUAAUCGGGACGCGGUACCGGAAUAGAAAGCCACGGCUAACUACGUGCCAGCAGCCGCGGUAAUAC